AAGUCGUAACAAGGUUUCCGUAGGUGAACCUGCGGAAGGAUCAUUCAAAACACCGCUGAAAGCGCCUUGCGCGCUUUUGGCAACAUAUUUUCAACUAAUGCACCUUGUCAUCUGCUCGCAGAAGCUGAUUUGGAAACAUCUUCUGCGCGUCAGUUUUGUCCGCUGGACAAACCAAGCAAUAUUUUGCGCUUUCCUACAGUACUUUAACCAAUUGACUUGCAGUGCAUAACCAAAGCAGUGCGAGAACAACCAGUGUCUUUUGAACUUACAACAGUGCUGCAGUAAAAUGCUACUGAUUUAUGAAAUUUAAAUCGACAAAAACAACUCUUUACAAUGGAUAUCUUGGCUCUU
rnacentral:misc_RNA from 1 species